AAUUAAAAUUUUUAUACGAAAAUAAAUUAUAAUCGAUUAGUACGUGAUCGAGAUCAGAUGCGCGCGCAAGCUUCUACAUUAGUUUCGGCGCGCGAUUGUUGUUUUGUGCACGCAUUGACAUUUUCUUGAUUUUUUUUUGUGUUUUAUAUUUAAAUUGAAGAUAGAACUUCAUCAGAAUGAAAAUUUCAAUCAUCCUUCGUUUAUGAUCAGCAUUUUCUUGUUAAAUCCAAACAUUAUUCAACAUUUUCAAUAGAAGAAUUGGAAUAAGAAUUUUUUAUGGAAAUAUGAAUAGAUAUAAAUUCCCACCUGUAUUUUCUCCUUCGGAUGUGUAUGAUAUUUUCCUUUCUGCCUUGUCCGCGAGCGAAUAUAUCCCAUGUUUAUGGUGUAAUAUUAUAUCGCCAUCACCAUAAUACUUCAAUCUGCAAAAAAUACACUAUCAUAAAUCAGAAUGAGAGAUGAAGAGAAGAGAAUAGAGGAAGAGGUUACAGAAGAAAAAGAAAAAGUUAUAGAAAUAUCAACGCACGCUAUACAUGAUAUUUUUCGACAUCCGAAGGGAAAGGGUUAUAGCGCGAAAUAAGGGCAUAUUUAGAUUACGGAUCCUUGUGGAAAAGGGUUCGUGUACCUGCGCAACGUUUCACCCUUCGGAUUCUCUUCUGACCUGCGCCCCUCGCGCCGGAUCAUCGAGUCCCCCAACGGAGGGAAGGGGGCGAGAAUCAGGUUUUCCACACGCACGCUCUUCGUCGAACAGGUAGUGGACGACGUUGGGCUCGUGCAGGGUUACCAAGGAAGAUACUGAUUCAGGAUUAAGAAAAUAUUCGAUAACCAUAGAUAUUGAAGGCAUAUGUUGUAUAUUAAUCCGUAUGGAAUACUUUGUAUGAAACUCACAUAUAGGUGUGUAGUCAUGAGAUGUUUAACAAGGUUUUCGCAGAGGUACGAUGAAUUUUAUUCGAUUUUAUCGAUGACCGACAUUCUAGAUUCGACUUCCAAUGGAACAGAUUCAAUAUGCUAUUUAUAAUAUAACGAUGUUAAUAUUAAUAAUCUAUUUGAUGAUCAAUACCUGAUUUGUUCUAAAUAAAUAAUAAAUUUCUUCUA